rfam:Haemonchus placei strain MHpl1 genome assembly, scaffold: HPLM_scaffold0005105
GGCGCAAACUUGAAGUAGAGUAGAUUAGUAUGGUCAGCUGAUCCUACCAAUCUACUCAACUUCAAAUUUUGGCCC